rnacentral:rRNA from 1 species
AUUGAACGCUGGCGGUAUGCUUAACACAUGCAAGUCGAACGGUAGCAGAAGAGAGCUUGCUCUCUUGCUGACGAGUGGCGGACGGGUGAGUAACGCUUGGGAAUCUGCCUAGUAGUGGGGGAUAACACGAGGGAACUCGUGCUAAUACCGCAUACGUCCUACGGGAGAAAGUGGGGGAUCUUCGGACCUCACGCUAUUAGAUGAGCCCAAGUCGGAUUAGCUUGUUGGUGAGGUAACGGCUCACCAAGGCGACGAUCCGUAGCUGGUUUGAGAGGAUGACCAGCCACACUGGGACUGAGACACGGCCCAG